rnacentral:rRNA from 1 species
UACGAAGGGGGCUAGCGUUGCUCGGAAUUACUGGGCGUAAAGGGAGCGUAGGCGGAUAGUUUAGUCAGAGGUGAAAGCCCAGGGCUCAACCUUGGAAUUGCCUUUGAUACUGGCUAUCUUGAGUACGGAAGAGGUAUGUGGAACUCCGAGUGUAGAGGUGAAAUUCGUAGAUAUUCGCAAGAACACCAGUGGCGAAGGCGGCUCACUGGCCCGGUACUGACGCUGAGGUGCGAAAGCGGUGGGGAGCAAACAGGAUUAGAAACCCGAUGUACGUUC